CGACAGUUAAGAAUAGAAUCUGGUCAAAUUUUGAAGUUGAACAUGUGGGAUUUUUUUAUUUUUGCCACGGACCAUUUAAUUUUCAUGGAGGAAGGGGCCUGGUAGUUUUUAGAAAUCAAUAUUCUGACCCUGAUUUUGACUUAAAAAAUCUGCUGCCUCAAUAUUUUGUCAUAUGAAAAAAAAAAAUUGUCAGCAAAAUUUUC
rnacentral:lncRNA from 1 species